UACAGAGGUCCCAAGCGUUGUUCGGAUUCACUGGGCGUAAAGGGUGCGUAGGUGGCCGGGUAAGUCUGGUGUGAAAUCUCCGAGCUCAACUCGGAAACUGCAUUGGAUACUAUCCGGCUAGAGGAAUGGAGGGGAGACUGGAAUACUUGGUGUAGCAGUGAAAUGCGUAGAUAUCAAGUGGAACACCAGUGGCGAAGGCGAGUCUCUGGACAUUUCCUGACGCUGAGGCACGAAAGCUAGGGGAGCAAACAGG
rnacentral:rRNA from 1 species